rnacentral:rRNA from 1 species
UACGUAGGGCGCGAGCGUUGUCCGGAAUUAUUGGGCGUAAAGAGCUCGUAGGCGGCCUGUCGCGUCGGUUGUGAAAGCCCGGGGCUUAACUCCGGGUCUGCAUUCGAUACGGGCUAGCUAGAGUGUGGUAGGGGAGAUCGGAAUUCCUGGUGUAGCGGUGAAAUGCGCAGAUAUCAGGAGGAACACCGGUGGCGAAGGCGGAUCUCUGGGCCGAUACUGACGCUGAGGAGCGAAAGCGUGGGGAGCGAACAGG